rnacentral:rRNA from 1 species
AGCCAGAGGAAGAUAUUUUUGGUUUAACCUGCCCAAUGUAUUAUUGUAUGAAUGGCCGCGGUACCCUGACCGUGCUAAGGUAGCGUAAUCAGUUGGCUUUUAAAUGGAGUCAGGUAUGAAUGGGAUAACCGGGCUUAGCUGUCUCAAAGACAUUUAUUUGAAUUUACUGUUCAAGUGAAAAAGCUUGAUGUAAGAAAAGGGACGAGAAGACCCUUAGAAUUUUGUUUAAAGAGGAUUAUCUCCUCUAUGAUUUUGUUGGGGCGACAGAGAAAUAAUUAAAACUUUCUUUAAAUUAAUCAGUCGGAAUUUUCAGGUUAGGAUAAAUUACCUGAGGGAUAACAGCAUAAUUUUAUAAAUAAGUUUGUGACCUCGAUGUUGGACUAGGAAGCUAAUGGGUUAGCUGCUCAUUGUGCGGAUUCUGUUCGAAUUUUAACUCCUA